AUUGAACGCUGGCGGCAGGCCUAACACAUGCAAGUCGAGCGCGCGGCGGACGGGUGAGUAGUGUCUGGAUAUCUGCCAGAGAGAGGGGGAUAACUUCUGGAAACUGUGGCUAAUACCGCAUACUCGCGGCUGACCCCAUAUGGGAUUAGCUAGUAGGUGGGGUAAAGGCUCACCUAGGCGACUAUCUCUAGCUGGUCUGAGAGGAUGAUCAGCCACACUGGGACUGAGACACGGCCCAGACUCCUACGGGAGGCAGCAGUGGGGAAUAUUGCACAAUGGGCGCAAGCCUGAUGCAGCCAUGCCGCGUGUAUGAAGAAGGCCUUAGGGUUGUAAAGUACUUUCAGCGGGGAGGCGUUACCCGCAGAAGAAGCACCGGCUAACUCCGUGCCAGCAGCCGCGGUAAUUC
rnacentral:rRNA from 1 species